GAGGGAGCCUGAAGAGCUGGUCCUUAUACAGCUUUCUGAAAUCCCUGAGAUCUGUCGAUGAAUCGCGCAUCUUUCACUCCACAAGUAUUUGUUGAACGUCAUUGUGAUCAUGCUGGCUGCUGUGUAAAGAAAAGACUGAGGGGAAGUAAAAGAACAAAGAACAAAAGAGAACAUGAUGGCUUGGAUCAAGCCUGGUUCUUGACUAUCCCCUAAAAUUGUCAAUCAGUAGAAGCUCACUGAGUAUCAUCUGAAUUUAAAUCACCAUUAGCUCCCUUCUGAUGAAGCAGGAGUUGACUCAGCUGGGCUUUUAGCUGGACACGGAAAGUGGAGAUAGAUGAAUUGUCAUGAUCAAGUGGGUGUCAUCAAGUACUUAGAAAGGUUUCAUUUUGUUCCUACUGUCUUUCCAACUUACUAAUAAAAAUAUUGAAAUCUA
rnacentral:antisense_RNA from 1 species